rnacentral:rRNA from 1 species
GGGCGGGCGCAGGCUUACACAUGCAAGUCGAGCGGUGAGGCAAGGUAGCUCUGCUACCGGACCUAACGGCGGACGGAUGAGUAAUGCUUAUGAAUCUGCCUAUUAGUGGGGGACGGCUUCUCGAAGGGGAUGCUAAUACCGCAUACGUCCUACCGCAGAAAGCAGGGGAUCUACCGACCUUGCGCUAGUAGAUGAACCUGCGUCGGAUUAACUAGUUGGUGGGGUAAGUGCCUACCCAGGCGACCAUCUAUACCGGGUCUGACAGGAUGAUCCACCACACUGGGACUGACACACAGCCCAUACUCAUACGGGAGGCAGCAGUGGGGAAUAUUGGACAAUGGGGGGAACCCUGAUCCAUCCAUGCCGCGUGUGUGAAUAAGGCCUUAUGGUUGUAAAGCACUUUCAUCGAGGAGGAAGCUACUUUAUUUAAUACCUAGAGAUAGUGGACGUUACUCCCACAAUAAGCACCGGCUAACUCUGUGCCAGCAGCCGCGGUAAUACAAAGGGUGCGAGCGUUAAUCGGAUUUACUGGGCGUAAAACGUGCGUAGGCGGCUUAUUAAGUCGGAUGUGAAAUCCCCCAGCUUAACUUGGGAAUUGCAUUCUAUACUGGUGAGCUAGAGUAUGGGAGAGGAUGGUAGAAUUCCCCGUGUAUCGCUGAAAUGCGUAUAGAUCUCGAGGAAUACCGAUGGCGAAAGCAGCCAUCUGGCCUAAUACUGACACUCACGUACGAAAGCAUGUGGGAGCAAACAAGAUUAGAUACCCUCGUAGUCCAUGCCCGUACACAAUGUCUACUACCCCGUUGGGGCCUUUGAGGCUUUAGUGGCGCAGCUCACGCCCAUAAGUAUACCGCCUGGGGGAGUACGGUCGCCCGACUAAAACUCAA